GACGUAGGGCGCGAGCGUUGUCCGGAUUUAUUGGGCGUAAAGAGCUCGUAGGCGGCGUGUCGCGUCGACUGUGAAAACCCGGGGCUUAACUUCGGGCUUGCAGUCGAUAUGGGCAGGCUGGAGUUCGGUAGGGGAGACUGGAAUUCCUGGUGUAGCGGUGAAAUGCGCAGAUAUCAGGAGGAACACCGGUGGCGAAGGCGGGUCUCUGGGCCGAUACUGACGCUGAGGAGCGAAAGCGUGGGGAGCGAACAGG
rnacentral:rRNA from 1 species